rnacentral:rRNA from 1 species
AGUGAACGCUGGCGGUAGGCCUAACACAUGCAAGUCGAACGGCAGCACAGAGGAGCUUGCUCCUUGGGUGGCGAGUGGCGGACGGGUGAGGAAUACAUCGGAAUCUACUCUGUCGUGGGGGAUAACGUAGGGAAACUUACGCUAAUACCGCAUACGACCUACGGGUGAAAGCAGGGGAUCUUCGGACCUUGCGCGAUUGAAUGAGCCGAUGUCGGAUUAGCUAGUUGGCGGGGGAAAGGCCCACCAAGGCGACGAUCCGUAGCUGGUCUAGGAGGAUGAUCAGCCACAGUGGAACUCAGACACGGUGCGGACUCCUACUGGAGGCAGCAGUGGGGAAUAUUGGACGAUGGGCGCAAGCCUGAUCCAGCCAUACCGCGUGGGUGAAGAAGGCCUUCGGGUUGUAAAGCCCUUUUGUUGGGAAAGAAAUCCAUCUGGUUAAUACCCGGGUGGGAUGACGGUACCCAAAGAAUAAGCACCGGCUAACUUCGUGCCAGCAGCCGCCGCAG